GGGGAUGAUCGGUUUCGACAGUGCUUUUGAGCCUGAAUGAAGCGGGUCGAGGAUGCAGAGUUAUCUCGUAAACGCUCUUUGCAAACUAUAGGUGCUAAAACUAAUCGCACCGACUUCGCCCUAGCUGCCUAGAGCAACUAGCCUGAAGUCCGUCAGUCCGGAGUUGAUCUCGUUCCGGGUCCUGGCGUUAUCUAGAGAUCUUGCUGCUUAGUUACGCCUUAGGGCUUCGCGGGACUUUCACUCAGGCUGGGUUUGUUGGUCGACUUGUUUCAGGGUAUGACCAGGACCGAGUAAAGCGAUACUGAAACUACACCCGUAGAAGAAUCAGAAUCUUUGUUCUGGACGGGGGUUCAAUUCCCCCCAUCUCCAC
rnacentral:tmRNA from 1 species